CUGCCUUUGAACUCGCAGUAAUCCACCUGCCUCAGCCUCCCAAGUGUAGGAUUACAGGUGUGCACCACCACACCAGUCAUUUAGUUUUUAGAACCCUGGACAUCAAACCUGGGCCUUGCAUAUGCUAGGUAAGUUUCUCUCACUGAGAUACAUCUCCAGCCCUAUAAGUUUACAUAAUUUGAUUUUUGAUAGUGGUAUGUUUUAAAACUGGCUUAUAAAAUUGGGGCAAUCUUAACAAUUGAUUUUCACAAGCUGGGAUGAGCUCACGCCGUAGAAACACUAGAGCUCAGUAAGGGUCCAGCUUUGCUUUUAUGACAGGGCGUUGUGAGGAUCGAAUAAGGUGAUGCUUGUUUGCUGUUGAAAAGGAGAGGCAGGAGGCAGGGAGACCAGCCCAGUAGGAAGCCAUUGCCAUCUUCCUGGAAUGGGAUGAUGAAAUUCUCAGCGCUGAGGAGGAAGGAUUGGCCAGCAGCAGUCAGCAGCUUCUGUGCCCAAAGGUACCGGAGAGGAAAGAAAGUCCGGGGGCUGCCAGCUCCAGCAGCCAGAGGGGCCUUUGCCAAAUGCAGACUUGAGCAGAGCUUGCACUUGUAGUUGUUUGGCCUUCUCGCUGCUCUUAGGCUGAAGACGAAAGUCCUUAAGGAGCCUGCAGGGCUGUGUGACUGCACUACUCCCUCCCUCUGGCUGCGCCUCAUCUGUCCCCGCAUCCCAAGAGCACCGUGGCCGUGGCCGUUUUCCCCAUGGAAGGCACCACAUAGGCGAUUCCGUCUCCUCCUCCCAGCGCUUAUUCAACCCCUACCCACCGUUCCAGUUGAGCUCCUCCCCCACCAGGGAGAGCUGCCUGCUUGGGCCUUUCCUUCUCCCAGGUCCAAUGAGGCUGCCUUGGCCCGGAUGCUGUGUUUCCAACAGAGGGACCCAUUCAAGGCGGAGGUGAGCGGGGAAGAACAAGAGGCUGGACCGUUCUCACGAAGGAAGGAUGGAGAAGCUGGGGUUUACGGGGAUAACAAGCAGGUG
rnacentral:lncRNA from 1 species